AGAAAGCGGAAUUGGUAGACGUGCUGGUCUCAAACACCAGUUCCAUUACACCGAGGGUUCGAGUCCCUUCCUUUCUG
rnacentral:tRNA from 1 species